CUAGCCUUGGAACGCUUAUUCGAGAUAGUUCUGUGUCAACAUGGGGACAGCUGCUGCUGUCUUGGGAGGAAUGUUCCCUCAGACAGAACUGCUAAUCGGGCGAGAUGAAGGGAGGAAUGAACAGCCGGUGAGGGCUGCUGUUGCUUUUCCAGCCGUCUUUCCCCUCCUUGCCCGAGUCCCAUGGAUUUGGGGCCGGCUAAUUGAGACGGCGGCAGACGAUCAACCCCGCAACCCGCCGAACCCCGCAACCCGCCGAACCCCACGGCCUUCAUUUUGGAGAAUGUGGGAACUUUCUGAGCCUGCGAGCUCCGUUGCACAGCUCUGAGCAAUUUUCCAGAGCUACCCUAUGUCAUCUGUCUCCUUGACAUAGAGAGGGAAGGAGGGAGGAAGACGACGAGGCUGUGGACGGGCCAAAGAGACAGAGGAGGGAAAGCAGGGGAAAAUGGGGAGAGAAGCAUCUUGCUGACGUCAAAGAAGACCACACUCCCCAACCUCAACCGCCCACUCCCUCUAAUUUACUAGAAACCAAACAGCCUGUUUUGAAACCUGUA